UCGAGAAUUUUUCUCAAUGGGGGCAACCCUGAAGGAGCGACGCCGCGUGGAGGAUGAAGGUCUUCGGAUUGUAAACUCCUGUCAUUAGGGAACAAAUCUUCCAGUUAACUGCUGGGAGUCUGAUAGUACCUGAAGAGGAAGGGACGGCUAACUCUGUGCCAGCAGCCGCGGUAAUACAGAGGUCCCAACCGUUGUUCGGAUUCAUUGGGCGUAAAGGGUGCGUAGGCGGCGGAGUAAGUCAGGUGUGAAAUCUCGGGGCUCAACCCCGAAACUGCACUUGAUACUGCUUCGCUAGAGUACUGGAGAGGAGACUGGAAUUUACGGUGUAGCAGUGAAAUGCGUAGAUAUCGUAAGGAAGACCAGUGGCGAAGGCGAGUCUCUGGACAGUUACUGACGCUGAGGCACGAAGGCCAGGGGAGCAAACGGG
rnacentral:rRNA from 1 species